rnacentral:rRNA from 1 species
CAACCUGCCGAUGACUCGGGGAUAGCCUUUCGAAAGAAAGAUUAAUACCCGAUGGCAUAGUUCUUCCGCAUGGUGGAACUAUUAAAGAAUUUCGGUCAUCGAUGGGGAUGCGUUCCAUUAGGUUGUUGGCGGGGUAACGGCCCACCAAGCCUUCGAUGGAUAGGGGUUCUGAGAGGAAGGUCCCCCACAUUGGAACUGAGACACGGUCCAAACUCCUACGGGAGGCAGCAGUGAGGAAUAUUGGUCAAUGGACGAGAGUCUGAACCAGCCAAGUAGCGUGAAGGAUGACUGCCCUAUGGGUUGUAAACUUCUUUUAUACGGGAAUAAAGUGAGGCACGUGUGCCUUUUUGUAUGUACCGUAUGAAUAAGGAUCGGCUAACUCCGUGCCAGCAGCCGCGGUAAUACGGAGGAUCCGAGCGUUAUCCGGAUUUAUUGGGUUUAAAGGGAGCGUAGGCGGACGCUUAAGUCGGUUGUGAAAGUUUGCGGCUCAACCGUAAAAUUGCAGUUGAUACUGGGUGUCUUGAGUACAGUAGAGGCAGGCGGAAUUCGUGGUGUAGCGGUGAAAUGCUUAGAUAUCACGAAGAACUCCGAUUG